rfam:Triticum urartu cultivar G1812 contig544087, whole genome shotgun sequence.
AUAUUACUCCCUCUGUCUGGAAAUACAUGCCGGAGAAAUGGAUAAAAAUGGAUGUAUCUAGAACUAAAAUACGUCUAGAUACAUCCAUUUCUCCGACAAGUAUUCCCGGACAGAGGGUAUAACGG